rnacentral:rRNA from 7 species
GGGUUGUGAGGUUAAGCGACUAAGCGUACACGGUGGAUGCCCUGGCAGUCAGAGGCGAUGAAGGACGUGCUAAUCUGCGAUAAGCGCCGGUAAGGUGAUAUGAACCGUUAUAACCGGCGAUUUCCGAAUGGGGAAACCCAGUGUGACUCGUCACACUAUCAUUAACUGAAUCCAUAGGUUAAUGAGGCGAACCGGGGGAACUGAAACAUCUAAGUACCCCGAGGAAAAGAAAUCAACCGAGAUUCCCCCAGUAGCGGCGAGCGAACGGGGAGGAGCCCAGAGCCUGAAUCAGCAUGUGUGUUAGUGGAAGCGUCUGGAAAGGCGCGCGAUACAGGGUGACA